GCGGGCGUGGCGAAACUGGCACACGCGCUAGAUUUAGGAUCUAGUGGGUUUUUCCCUUGGGGGUUCAAGUCCCUUCGCCCGCACCA
rnacentral:tRNA from 1 species